GGGGUUAGGGCUGGAGCUAUGGUUAGGGUUAGUUGUGGAGCUAGGGUUAGGGUUAGGGUUGGAGCUAGGGUUAGGGUUAGGGUUGGAGCUAGGGUUAGGGUUAGGGUUAGGAAAAUGUGAAGAUUUUCCCAAAAUCUGAAGAUUUUCCUAAGUGCGGACCCAAUUUUUCACCUUCCAGAAUUGUGUUAGGAGCACGUUUCAGGCCACGGGGAGUCCAUAGAACCUGAUUGUGGGUGAAGUUUUCGGGGGUUGGAGCUUUGGGGCAGGAUAUAGGGAUAUGUGCCACUUUUGACAUGCCGGUUCAUUGCCUUUCCCAUCGAUGAACCGGGCUGAGAUUUGGUCUACCCCCCAUUUUCGGGUAUGCUGAAUCUAGAAAUAGUAAUGAACCAGCGAUCGGACAUUCCUAUCAAAAGUUAUGGCGAAGUGAAAAUUUCCCAUUGAAAAUGAAUGGGAGCGGAAAAUGGCCAAAGUCAGUGUUUGCAAGUGUUGUACUUGUCUGGAACUGUUGAAAAUGCAUUGUGAGCACGUUUCAGGCCAUUUCCUGUCAUUUGAGGGCGACUUUGCAAAAAGGGGUGUCAUACCGCUUUUGACCAGAGGUGGUGCUGCACAUGUCCGACGGUUAGGGUUAGGGUGAGACUUUGGGCAAGGGGUUAGGGUUAGGGCUGGAGCUAUGGUUAGGGUUAGUUGUGGAGCUAGGGUUAGGGUUAGGGUUGGAGCUAGGGUUAGGGUUAGGGUUGGAGCUAGGGUUAGGGUUAGGGUUAGGAAAAUGUGAAGAUUUUCCCAAAAUCUGAAGAUUUUCCUAAGUGCGGACCCAAUUUUUCACCUUCCAGAAUUGUGUUAGGAGCACGUUUCAGGCCACGGGGAGUCCAUAGAACCUGAUUGUGGGUGAAGUUUUCGGGGGUUGGAGCUUUGGGGCAGGAUAUAGGGAUAUGUGCCACUUUUGACAUGCCGGUUCAUUGCCUUUCCCAUCGAUGAACCGGGCUGAGAUUUGGUCUACCCCCCCAUUUUCGGGUAUGCUGAAUCUAGAAAUAGUAAUGAACCAGCGAUCGGACAUUCCUAUCAAAAGUUAUGGCGAAGUGAAAAUUUCCCAUUGAAAAUGAAUGGGAGCGGAAAAUGGCCAAAGUCAGUGUUUGCAAGUGUUGUACUUGUCUGGAACUGUUGAAAAUGCAUUGUGAGCACGUUUCAGGCCAUUUCCUGUCAUUUGAGGGCGACUUUGCAAAAAGGGGUGUCAUACCGCUUUUGACCAGAGGUGGUGCUGCACAUGUCCGACGGUUAGGGUUAGGGUGAGACUUUGGGCAAGGGGUUAGGGUUAGGGUGGGCUAGGUUAGGGUUGUGGAGCUAGGGUUAGGGUUAGGGUUGGAGCUAGGGUUAGGGUUAGGGUUGGAGCUAGGGUUAGGGUUAGGGUUAGGAAAAUGUGAAGAUUUUCCCAAAAUCUGAAGAUUUUCCUAAGUGCGGACCCAAUUUUUCACCUUCCAGAAUUGUGUUAGGAGCACGUUUCAGGCCACGGGGAGUCCAUAGAACCUGAUUGUGGGUGAAGUUUUCGGGGGUUGGAGCUUUGGGGCAGGAUAUAGGGAUAUGUGCCACUUUUGACAUGCCGGUUCAUUGCCUUUCCCAUCGAUGAACCGGGCUGAGAUUUGGUCUACCCCCCCAUUUUCGGGUAUGCUGAAUCUAGAAAUAGUAAUGAACCAGCGAUCGGACAUUCCUAUCAAAAGUUAUGGCGAAGUGAAAAUUUCCCAUUGAAAAUGAAUGGGAGCGGAAAAUGGCCAAAGUCAGUGUUUGCAAGUGUUGUACUUGUCUGGAACUGUUGAAAAUGCAUUGUGAGCACGUUUCAGGCCAUUUCCUGUCAUUUGAGGGCGACUUUGCAAAAAGGGGUGUCAUACCGCUUUUGACCAGAGGUGGUGCUGCACAUGUCCGACGGUUAGGGUUAGGGUGAGACUUUGGGCAAGGGGUUAGGGUUAGGGCUGGAGCUAUGGUUAGGGUUAGUGUGGAGCUAGGGUUAGGGUUAGGGUUGGAGCUAGGGUUAGGGUUAGGGUUGGAGCUAGGGUUAGGGUUAGGGUUAGGAAAAUGUGAAGAUUUUCCCAAAAUCUGAAGAUUUUCCUAAGUGCGGACCCAAUUUUUCACCUUCCAGAAUUGUGUUAGGAGCACGUUUCAGGCCACGGGGAGUCCAUAGAACCUGAUUGUGGGUGAAGUUUUCGGGGGUUGGAGCUUUGGGGCAGGAUAUAGGGAUAUGUGCCACUUUUGACAUGCCGGUUCAUUGCCUUUCCCAUCGAUGAACCGGGCUGAGAUUUGGUCUACCCCCCAUUUUCGGGUAUGCUGAAUCUAGAAAUAGUAAUGAACCAGCGAUCGGACAUUCCUAUCAAAAGUUAUGGCGAAGUGAAAAUUUCCCAUUGAAAAUGAAUGGGAGCGGAAAAUGGCCAAAGUCAGUGUUUGCAAGUGUUGUACUUGUCUGGAACUGUUGAAAAUGCAUUGUGAGCACGUUUCAGGCCAUUUCCUGUCAUUUGAGGGCGACUUUGCAAAAAGGGGUGUCAUACCGCUUUUGACCAGAGGUGGUGCUGCACAUGUCCGACGGUUAGGGUUAGGGUGAGACUUUGGGCAAGGGGUUAGGGUUAGGGCUGGAGCUAGGGUUAGGGUUAGGGUUGGAGCUAGGGUUAGGGUUAGGGUUGGAGCUAGGGUUAGGGUUAGGGUUGGAGCUAGGGUUAGGGUUAGGGUUAGGAAAAUGUGAAGAUUUUCCCAAAAUCUGAAGAUUUUCCUAAGUGCGGACCCAAUUUUUCACCUUCCAGAAUUGUGUUAGGAGCACGUUUCAGGCCACGGGGAGUCCAUAGAACCUGAUUGUGGGUGAAGUUUUCGGGGGUUGGAGCUUUGGGGCAGGAUAUAGGGAUAUGUGCCACUUUUGACAUGCCGGUUCAUUGCCUUUCCCAUCGAUGAACCGGGCUGAGAUUUGGUCUACCCCCCAUUUUCGGGUAUGCUGAAUCUAGAAAUAGUAAUGAACCAGCGAUCGGACAUUCCUAUCAAAAGUUAUGGCGAAGUGAAAAUUUCCCAUUGAAAAUGAAUGGGAGCGGAAAAUGGCCAAAGUCAGUGUUUGCAAGUGUUGUACUUGUCUGGAACUGUUGAAAAUGCAUUGUGAGCACGUUUCAGGCCAUUUCCUGUCAUUUGAGGGCGACUUUGCAAAAAGGGGUGUCAUACCGCUUUUGACCAGAGGUGGUGCUGCACAUGUCCGACGGUUAGGGUUAGGGUGAGACUUUGGGCAAGGGGUUAGGGUUAGGGGGUUAGGGCUGGAGCUAGGGUUAGGGUUAGGGUUGGAGCUAGGGUUAGGGUUAGGGUUGGAGCUAGGGUUAGGGUUAGGGUUAGGAAAAUGUGAAGAUUUUCCCAAAAUCUGAAGAUUUUCCUAAGUGCGGACCCAAUUUUUCACCUUCCAGAAUUGUGUUAGGAGCACGUUUCAGGCCACGGGGAGUCCAUAGAACCUGAUUGUGGGUGAAGUUUUCGGGGGUUGGAGCUUUGGGGCAGGAUAUAGGGAUAUGUGCCACUUUUGACAUGCCGGUUCAUUGCCUUUCCCAUUGAUGAACCGGGCUGAGAUUUGGUCUACCCCCCCAUUUUCGGGUAUGCUGAAUCUAGAAAUAGUAAUGAACCAGCGAUCGGACAUUCCUAUCAAAAGUUAUGGCGAAGUGAAAAUUUCCCAUUGAAAAUGAAUGGGAGCGGAAAAUGGCCAAAGUCAGUGUUUGCAAGUGUUGUACUUGUCUGGAACUGUUGAAAAUGCAUUGUGAGCACGUUUCAGGCCAUUUCCUGUCAUUUGAGGGCGACUUUGCAAAAAGGGGUGUCAUACCGCUUUUGACCAGAGGUGGUGCUGCACAUGUCCGACGGUUAGGGUUAGGGUGAGACUUUGGGCAAGGGGUUAGGGUUAGGGUGGAGCUAGGUUAGGGUUGUUGGAGCUAGGGUUAGGGUUAGGGUUGGAGCUAGGGUUAGGGUUAGGGUUGGAGCUAGGGUUAGGGUUAGGGUUAGGAAAAUGUGAAGAUUUUCCCAAAAUCUGAAGAUUUUCCUAAGUGCGGACCCAAUUUUUCACCUUCCAGAAUUGUGUUAGGAGCACGUUUCAGGCCACGGGGAGUCCAUAGAACCUGAUUGUGGGUGAAGUUUUCGGGGGUUGGAGCUUUGGGGCAGGAUAUAGGGAUAUGUGCCACUUUUGACAUGGCGGUUCAUUGCCUUUCCCAUCGAUGAACCGGGCUGAGAUUUGGUCUACCCCCCAUUUUCGGGUAUGCUGAAUCUAGAAAUAGUAAUGAACCAGCGAUCGGACAUUCCUAUCAAAAGUUAUGGCGAAGUGAAAAUUUCCCAUUGAAAAUGAAUGGGAGCGGAAAAUGGCCAAAGUCAGUGUUUGCAAGUGUUGUACUUGUCUGGAACUGUUGAAAAUGCAUUGUGAGCACGUUUCAGGCCAUUUCCUGUCAUUUGAGGGCGACUUUGCAAAAAGGGGUGUCAUACCGCUUUUGACCAGAGGUGGUGCUGCACAUGUCCGACGGUUAGGGUUAGGGUGAGACUUUGGGCAAGGGGUUAGGGUUAGGGUGGAGCUAGGGUUAGGGUUAGGGUUGGAGCUAGGGUUAGGGUUAGGGUUGGAGCUAGGGUUAGGGUUAGGGUUAGGAAAAUGUGAAGAUUUUCCCAAAAUCUGAAGAUUUUCCUAAGUGCGGACCCAAUUUUUCACCUUCCAGAAUUGUGUUAGGAGCACGUUUCAGGCCACGGGGAGUCCAUAGAACCUGAUUGUGGGUGAAGUUUUCGGGGGUUGGAGCUUUGGGGCAGGAUAUAGGGAUAUGUGCCACUUUUGACAUGCCGGUUCAUUGCCUUUCCCAUCGAUGAACCGGGCUGAGAUUUGGUCUACCCCCCAUUUUCGGGUAUGCUGAAUCUAGAAAUAGUAAUGAACCAGCGAUCGGACAUUCCUAUCAAAAGUUAUGGCGAAGUGAAAAUUUCCCAUUGAAAAUGAAUGGGAGCGGAAAAUGGCCAAAGUCAGUGUUUGCAAGUGUUGUACUUGUCUGGAACUGUUGAAAAUGCAUUGUGAGCACGUUUCAGGCCAUUUCCUGUCAUUUGAGGGCGACUUUGCAAAAAGGGGUGUCAUACCGCUUUUGACCAGAGGUGGUGCUGCACAUGUCCGACGGUUAGGGUUAGGGUGAGACUUUGGGCAAGGGGUUAGGGUUAGGGCUGGAGCUAGGUUAGGGUUAGGUGGAGCUAGGGUUAGGGUUAGGGUUGGAGCUAGGGUUAGGGUUAGGGUUGGAGCUAGGGUUAGGGUUAGGGUUAGGAAAAUGUGAAGAUUUUCCCAAAAUCUGAAGAUUUUCCUAAGUGCGGACCCAAUUUUUCACCUUCCAGAAUUGUGUUAGGAGCACGUUUCAGGCCACGGGGAGUCCAUAGAACCUGAUUGUGGGUGAAGUUUUCGGGGGUUGGAGCUUUGGGGCAGGAUAUAGGGAUAUGUGCCACUUUUGACAUGCCGGUUCAUUGCCUUUCCCAUCGAUGAACCGGGCUGAGAUUUGGUCUACCCCCCAUUUUCGGGUAUGCUGAAUCUAGAAAUAGUAAUGAACCAGCGAUCGGACAUUCCUAUCAAAAGUUAUGGCGAAGUGAAAAUUUCCCAUUGAAAAUGAAUGGGAGCGGAAAAUGGCCAAAGUCAGUGUUUGCAAGUGUUGUACUUGUCUGGAACUGUUGAAAAUGCAUUGUGAGCACGUUUCAGGCCAUUUCCUGUCAUUUGAGGGCGACUUUGCAAAAAGGGGUGUCAUACCGCUUUUGACCAGAGGUGGUGCUGCACAUGUCCGACGGUUAGGGUUAGGGUGAGACUUUGGGCAAGGGGUUAGGGUUAGGGCUGGAGCUGGAGCUAGGGUUAGGGUUAGGGUUGGAGCUAGGGUUAGGGUUAGGGUUGGAGCUAGGGUUAGGGUUAGGGUUAGGAAAAUGUGAAGAUUUUCCCAAAAUCUGAAGAUUUUCCUAAGUGCGGACCCAAUUUUUCACCUUCCAGAAUUGUGUUAGGAGCACGUUUCAGGCCACGGGGAGUCCAUAGAACCUGAUUGUGGGUGAAGUUUUCGGGGGUUGGAGCUUUGGGGCAGGAUAUAGGGAUAUGUGCCACUUUUGACAUGCCGGUUCAUUGCCUUUCCCAUUGAUGAACCGGGCUGAGAUUUGGUCUACCCCCCAUUUUCGGGUAUGCUGAAUCUAGAAAUAGUAAUGAACCAGCGAUCGGACAUUCCUAUCAAAAGUUAUGGCGAAGUGAAAAUUUCCCAUUGAAAAUGAAUGGGAGCGGAAAAUGGCCAAAGUCAGUGUUUGCAAGUGUUGUACUUGUCUGGAACUGUUGAAAAUGCAUUGUGAGCACGUUUCAGGCCAUUUCCUGUCAUUUGAGGGCGACUUUGCAAAAAGGGGUGUCAUACCGCUUUUGACCAGAGGUGGUGCUGCACAUGUCCGACGGUUAGGGUUAGGGUGAGACUUUGGGCAAGGGGUUAGGGUUAGGGCUGGAGCUAGGUUAGGGGGUGGAGCUAGGGUUAGGGUUGGAGCUAGGGUUAGGGUUAGGGUUGGAGCUAGGGUUAGGGUUAGGGUUAGGAAAAUGUGAAGAUUUUCCCAAAAUCUGAAGAUUUUCCUAAGUGCGGACCCAAUUUUUCACCUUCCAGAAUUGUGUUAGGAGCACGUUUCAGGCCACGGGGAGUCCAUAGAACCUGAUUGUGGGUGAAGUUUUCGGGGGUUGGAGCUUUGGGGCAGGAUAUAGGGAUAUGUGCCACUUUUGACAUGCCGGUUCAUUGCCUUUCCCAUCGAUGAACCGGGCUGAGAUUUGGUCUACCCCCCAUUUUCGGGUAUGCUGAAUCUAGAAAUAGUAAUGAACCAGCGAUCGGACAUUCCUAUCAAAAGUUAUGGCGAAGUGAAAAUUUCCCAUUGAAAAUGAAUGGGAGCGGAAAAUGGCCAAAGUCAGUGUUUGCAAGUGUUGUACUUGUCUGGAACUGUUGAAAAUGCAUUGUGAGCACGUUUCAGGCCAUUUCCUGUCAUUUGAGGGCGACUUUGCAAAAAGGGGUGUCAUACCGCUUUUGACCAGAGGUGGUGCUGCACAUGUCCGACGGUUAGGGUUAGGGUGAGACUUUGGGCAAGGGGUUAGGGUUAGGGCUGGAGCUAGGUUAGGGUUAGUUGGAGCUAGGGUUAGGGUUAGGGUUGGAGCUAGGGUUAGGGUUAGGGUUGGAGCUAGGGUUAGGGUUAGGGUUAGGAAAAUGUGAAGAUUUUCCCAAAAUCUGAAGAUUUUCCUAAGUGCGGACCCAAUUUUUCACCUUCCAGAAUUGUGUUAGGAGCACGUUUCAGGCCACGGGGAGUCCAUAGAACCUGAUUGUGGGUGAAGUUUUCGGGGGUUGGAGCUUUGGGGCAGGAUAUAGGGAUAUGUGCCACUUUUGACAUGGCGGUUCAUUGCCUUUCCCAUCGAUGAACCGGGCUGAGAUUUGGUCUACCCCCCCAUUUUCGGGUAUGCUGAAUCUAGAAAUAGUAAUGAACCAGCGAUCGGACAUUCCUAUCAAAAGUUAUGGCGAAGUGAAAAUUUCCCAUUGAAAAUGAAUGGGAGCGGAAAAUGGCCAAAGUCAGUGUUUGCAAGUGUUGUACUUGUCUGGAACUGUUGAAAAUGCAUUGUGAGCACGUUUCAGGCCAUUUCCUGUCAUUUGAGGGCGACUUUGCAAAAAGGGGUGUCAUACCGCUUUUGACCAGAGGUGGUGCUGCACAUGUCCGACGGUUAGGGUUAGGGUGAGACUUUGGGCAAGGGGUUAGGGUGGGGUUAGGGUUGGAGCUAGGGUUAGGGUUAGGG
rnacentral:lncRNA from 1 species